GAUGAACGCUGGCGGCGUGCCUAAUACAUGCAAGUAGAACGCUGAAGCUUGGUGCUUGCACCGAGCGGAUGAGUUGCGAACGGGUGAGUAACGCGUAGGUAACCUGCCUCUUAGCGGGGGAUAACUAUUGGAAACGAUAGCUAAUACCGCAUAAAAGUCGACAUCGCAUGAUGUUGACUUGAAAGGUGCAAAUGCAUCACUAAGAGAUGGACUUGCGUUGUAUUAGCUAGUUGGUGAGGUAACGGCUCACCAAGGCGACGAUACAUAGCCGACCUGAGAGGGUGAUCGGCCACACUGGGACUGAGACACGGCCCAGACUCCUACGGGAGGCAGCAGUAGGGAAUCUUCGGCAAUGGGGGCAACCCUGACCGAGCAACGCCGCGUGAGUGAAGAAGGUUUUCGGAUCGUAAAGCUCUGUUGUAAGAGAAGAACGAGUGUGAGAGUGGAAAGUUCACACUGUGACGGUAACUUACCAGAAAGGGACGGCUAACUACGUGCCAGCAGCCGCGGUAAUACGUAGGUCCCGAGCGUUAUCCGGAUUUAUUGGGCGUAAAGCGAGCGCAGGCGGUUAGAUAAGUCUGAAGUUAAAGGCUGUGGCUUAACCAUAGUACGCUUUGGAAACUGUUUAACUUGAGUGCAGAAGGGGAGAGUGGAAUUCCAUGUGUAGCGGUGAAAUGCGUAGAUAUAUGGAGGAACACCGGUGGCGAAAGCGGCUCUCUGGUCUGUAACUGACGCUGAGGCUCGAAAGCGUGGGGAGCAAACAGG
rnacentral:rRNA from 1 species